ACUGAGACAUGCCAUGUCCCACCUGCUAAACAGAUUUCCCUACAUUGACCAGAUUUGGAGUGCCCUUUCCAGACAGGAGGGUAGAGUUAUUGUCCUCUGCAGGGCUCCACCGAGCAGCCGACUGACACCGGUGCACAGAUGCAUGGCCAAAUUUCGGAUGGAGCUCAGUGAGUCUCACUGAAGAACUGAGGGAAGGACUGAGAGAGGCAGAGGAGCACAAUGGUCUUCAUGUGGGUUCACUAAACCCAUCGCCUGUC